rnacentral:rRNA from 1 species
AAUCUUCCACAAUGGACGAAAGUCUGAUGGAGCAACGCCGCGUGAGUGAAGAAGGUUUUCGGAUCGUAAAGCUCUGUUGUAAGGGAAGAACAAGUACAGGAGUCACUGUCUGUACCUUGACGGUACCUUACCAGAAAGCCACGGCUAACUACGUGCCAGCAGCCGCGGUAAUACGGAGGGGGCAAGCGUUGUCCGGAAUUAUUGGGCGUAAAGCGGGCGCAGGGGGUCCCUUAAGGUUGGUGUGAAAGCCCACGGCUACACCGUGGGGGGUCAUUGGAAACUGGAGGACUUGAGUACAGAAGAGGAAAGCGGAAUUCCACGUUUAGGGGUGAAAUGCGUAGAGAUGUGGAGGAACACCAGUUGCGAAGGCGGCUUUCUGGUCUGUAACUGACGCUGAGGCGCGAAAGCGUGGGGGGCAAAC